rnacentral:rRNA from 1 species
UACGAGGGGGGCGAGCGUUGUUCGGAAUUAUUGGGCGUAAAGGGCGCGUAGGCGGUGCGGUAAGUCACCUGUGAAAUCUCUGGGCUCAACUCAGAGUCUGCAGGCGAAACUGCCGUGCUUGAGUGUGGGAGAGGUGAGUGGAAUUCCCGGUGUAGCGGUGAAAUGCGUAGAUAUCGAGAGGAACACCUGCGGCGAAGGCGGGUUGCUGGGCUGACACUGACGCUGAAGCGCGAAAGCUAGGGGAGCGAACGGG